AUUGGCCACGUGCGUGCCCAACUUGAGCUCGCUGCCCACUGCCUGUUGGGAGUCCGCGCUCCCAGCGGUGACCCAGCCAGCCCCUCCGGGCCUCAGUUUCCCCAUUGCCUCUCCGCCUCAGUUGCCUGCUGCGUGGACAAACUCACCGGGCAGAGCAGGAAGCCAGUCCUCUUGCCAAACCCUGAUCCUUUCCUGGACUGGUCAAGGAAGUUGGCGGGAGUCCUGGCCUGCUCCGGUGAACAGAGGGAGGGGGCUCUGUUGGGAAGCUACCUGAUUAGGGCCUUGGCAGCUUGGCAGGCCUGACUCCACAAGGUGCCCGGAGCAGUGCCCAAGCUGACUCGGGUUCCAGUGAUGAUGAGGCAGCCAGUGAGGCCCGCAGCACCGCCAGUGAAUGCCCCAGCUUUCUCAGCACCACUGUAGAGGACAGCCUUGGGGGGGAUGUCGUGGAUGAGCAGGGCCAGCAGGAAGACCUUGAGGAAAAGCUGAAGGAGUAUGUGGACUGCCUCACAGACAAGAGUGCCAAGACCCGGCAGGGUGCUCUCGAGAGCCUGCGCCUGGCCCUGGCGUCCCGCCUACUCCCCGACUUCUUGCUGGAGCGCCGCCUCACACUAGCCGAUGCCCUGGAAAAGUG
rnacentral:sRNA from 1 species